ACUAGAUCUAGCCCACACUCCCCCCCCCCCCNNNNNNNNAAUCACAGACAAAUCAAAUAAAGCAUUCACCACCCAUUCAAAGUAUAGGAGAUAGAAAUCCAAAUCACUAGUGGCGCUAUAGAGAAAGUACCGUAAGGGAAAGAUGAAAGAUAUCCUAAAAGUAAAAAAAAGCAAAGCUUACCCCUUGUACCUUUUGCAUAAUGAAUUAACUAGUAGUAACUUAGCAAAGAGACCUUUAGUUAAACUACCCGAAACCAGACGAGCUACUUACGAACAGUACCUAGAACGAACUCAUCUAUGUGGCAAAAUAGUGAGAAGAUUUGUAAGUAGAGGUGAAAAGCCUAACGAGCCUGGUGAUAGCUGGUUGUCCAAGAAAAGAAUCUCAGUUCAACAUUAAACAGUACCAAGAACCCCCUGAAGUUCCAAUGUAUGUUUAACUGUUAGUCUAAAAAGGUACAGCUUUUUAGAAAUGGGUACAACCUUAACUAGAGAGUAAAACAGACACACACAUGCCAUAGUUGGCUUAAAAGCAGCCAUCAAUUAAGAAAGCGUUCAAGCUCAACAAUAAAACUGUGUUAUAAUCCCAACAAUAACAAAUCAACUCCUAGUAUAAUUAUUGGACUAAUCUAUAUAAUUAUAGAAGCAAUACUGUUAACAUGAGUAACAAGAAAACUUUUUCUCCUCGCACAAGCUUACAUCAGUAACUGAUACUACACUGAUAGUUAACAGCCAAUAAAUAAAACCCAACGCCAAGCCAUUUAUUAAGCCCACUGUUAACCCAACACAGGCGUGCACCAAGGAAAGAUUAAAAAAAGUAAAAGGAACUCGGCAAACACAAACCUCGCCUGUUUACCAAAAACAUCACCUCUAGCAUAACCAGUAUUAGAGGCACUGCCUGCCCAGUGACUGAUAGUUAAACGGCCGCGGUAUCCUGACCGUGCAAAGGUAGCAUAAUCACUUGUUCUCUAAAUAAGGACUUGUAUGAACGGCCACACGAAGGUUUUACUGUCUCUUACUUUUAAUCAGUGAAAUUGACCUUCCCGUGAAGAGGCGGGAAUAACAAAACAAGACGAGAAGACCCUAUGGAGCUUCAAUUAAUCAACCCAAUAACCCACAACCUCAAACCACCAAGGGAUAAAAAAAACUUAUAUGGGUUGACAAUUUCGGUUGGGGUGACCUCGGAGCACAAAAACCCCUCCGAGUGAUUAAAGCCUAGGCCUACCAGCCAAAGCAUAACAUCACUUAUUGAUCCAAAGCUUUGAUCAACGGAACAAGUUACCCUAGGGAUAACAGCGCAAUCCUAUUCUAGAGUCCAUAUCGACAAUAGGGUUUACGACCUCGAUGUUGGAUCAGGACAUCCUAAUGGUGCAGCCGCUAUUAAGGGUUCGUUUGUUCAACGAUUAAAGUCCUACGUGAUCUGAGUUCAGACCGGAGCAAUCCAGGUCGGUUUCUAUCUGUUGCGCAUUUCUCCCAGUACGAAAGGACAAGAGAAAUAAGGCCAACUUUACACACGCGCCUUCAAAUAACUAAUGAUCUAAUCUUAAUUAAACAAACAAGCGCAAACUAACCCUGCCCAAGACCAGGGCAUU
rnacentral:rRNA from 1 species